rnacentral:tRNA from 1 species
GCGUGUGUGGCGUAAUGGCAGCGUAUUUACUCUUACCAAGUCGAAGGAGCGGGUUCGAUUCCCGCCGCACGCU